AUUGAACGCUGGCGGAAUGCUUUACACAUGCAAGUCGAACGGCAGCACGGACUUCGGCCUGGUGGCGAGUGGCGAACGGGUGAGUAAUGUAUCGGAACGUGCCCAGUCGUGGGGGAUAACGUAGUGAUAAUUACGCUAAUACCGCAUACGAUCGAUGGAUGAAAGCGGGGGAUCGCAAGACCUCGCGCGAUUGGAACGGCCGAUAUCAGAGUAGGUAGUUGGUGGGGUAAAGGCCCACCAAGCCAACGAUCUGUAGCUGGUCUGAGAGGACGACCAGCCACACUGGAACUGAGACACGGUCCAGACUCCUACGGGAGGCAGCAGUGGGGAAUUUUGGACAAUGGGCGAAAGCCUGAUCCAGCCAUUCCGCGUGCAGGAUGAAGGCCCUCGGGUUGUAAACUGCUUUUGUACAGAACGAAAAGGUUUCUACUAAUACUAGGAGCUCAUGACAGUACUGUAAGAAUAAGCACCGGCUAACUACGUGCCAGCCGCCGCGGUAA
rnacentral:rRNA from 1 species